rnacentral:misc_RNA from 1 species
AUUUUUCGGUCCCACCCACGUGUAGAACACGGAACGAAUUAAUUCUCAGUGACAAGGAACGGGACCCCUAUGCGGUCGUUCAUAUGGCGUGUGAACCUAUCUUUCCAUCUAUUUAAUAGAUAACCUGCCAUGCCGUUGAUCCCCAAGUUUUUGAAAUUUCCUGGCCAUUCACUCACUUUGAUUCGUUUACUGUACAGUGUUCACUAGACAUGUCACCUCCACUAACGUCCCCUGUGUUCAAGGUCUACAGGCGUGAACCUGAGCUACUCACCCCGGCUACGCCCACCCCUCAUGAGUUUAAGCAAUUAUCUGACAUUGAUGACCAAGA